rnacentral:lncRNA from 1 species
AUCAGUAAUAAAGAAAAAGAAUAUUCUACUGCAAUCAAGUGAGGGUUAAGCUGGGAAUGUAAGGCUAGUUCAAUAUUUGAGAAUCUAUUAAUGUUACCACAACAUUAACAGUCUAAUAUAUGAGAUAACUGAUGCAGUAGAAAAUAUUCAACUGUACUCAAUUUCAAUUUAUGAGCAAAACUAUCAGCAGGGGCCAGGCGCGAUGGCUCACGCCUGUAAUCCCAGCACUUUGGGAGGCCGAGACAGGCGGAAGGGUUUGAGAGGAUUGACUUCAGUUUCGAAAGAAGUUCCACUGUGGGUAAAAUGCAAUCAAACAGCAUCACAUGCUAGAGAGAACUCUGUUGUGAAAGAAAGAGUUAAUCUAUGUGGCAAACUUUGUCGUUUUCUUGUUUUAAAAAAUUGUCACUCCCAUCCCAAACUUCAGCAACACCACCCUGAUCAGUUAGCAGCCAUCCACACUGAGGCAAGAACCCCCACUGGCAACCAGAU